rnacentral:rRNA from 1 species
AAAUUCUCAACGGUGGAUGUCUUGGUUCCCACAACGAUGAAGAACGCAGCGAAGUGCGAUAAGCAGUGCGAAUUGCAGAACCGUGAGUCAUCAGAUUUUUGAACGCAACUGGCGCCAUAAGAGUUUACUCUUUGGCACGCCUGGUCCAGUG